UACGGAGGGUGCAAGCGUUAUCCGGAUUCACUGGGUUUAAAGGGUGCGUAGGCGGGCUUGUAAGUCAGUGGUGAAAGCCCGGAGCUUAACUCCGGAACUGCCUUUGAUACUGCAAGUCUUGAGUACACUUGAGGUGGGCGGAAUACAUCAUGUAGUGGUGAAAUACUUAGAUAUGAUGUAGAACACCGAUUGCGAAGGCAGCUCACUAAAUUGUAACUGACGCUGAGGCACGAAAGCGUGGGGAUCAAACAGG
rnacentral:rRNA from 1 species